GUACUGAUGAAGAGUCCCAAACCAGGACGAAACAGCUGUUCAGUGC
rnacentral:hammerhead_ribozyme from 1 species